UAAACCCAGGGAUCGUCUUCUCCCUCUUCUCUCCCCCCGUCCUCCUCCUGCGAACCCGGCGGCGUCAUCUGCUAACCCUCGCCAGGACGGCGGCGCUCCGUGCCACUUCUCGCCGACUUUUUUGGAAUCAGGCAAAGAUGACGAGCAAGCAGGAGCCCUGGACUCGACUUUCCCACAGUACGAAGUUACCAGGAUGGGUCGCGUACAAUCCAAGGACCAUGAGGCCUCCACCAUUGAGCGGCGACACCAAGCAAAUGAAGAUUCUAUCCUGGAAUGUCAAUGGGCUGAGAAAUAUUGUACAGUCAGGAGGUUUCUCUUCUGCAUUGGCUCAGAGGGAGAAUUUUGAUGUGUUGUGUCUUCAAGAGACACAUUUGAAGGAGGGUGAUGUUAAAGAUUUCAUGAACCUGAUACCUGGGUAUGAGUAUAAUUAUUGGUCAUGCAGUGUCGCGAGGCUUGACUAUUCAGGGACUGGAGUAAUUUCACGGGUAAAACCAAUCUCUGUCCAAUAUGGAAUUGGCAUAGCUGAACAUGAUCAGGAGGGCAGGGUUAUUACUUUGGAGUUUGAGAACUUUUACUUGGUGAAUGCUUAUGUCCCAAAUUCUGGCCGUGGUUUACGUAGACUGGUUUACAGGGUUGAUAGCUGGGAUCCAUCUUUCGCCGACUUUGUAGAAAAACUGGAAAGUUUCAAGCCAGUAAUUGUUUGUGGUGAUCUCAACUGUGCUCGUCAGAGUAUUGACAUUCACAAUCCUCCAGCCAAAACUGAAGAUGCAGGUUUCACAGAAGAAGAGAGGGAAUCAUUCCAGAUAAACUUUGAUAUGAGAGGCUUCGUUGAUACCUUCAGAAAGCAGCAUCCCAAGGCUGUGGGUUACACCUUCUGGGGUGAAAAUCAGCGGCGUAACGACAAAGGUUGGCGGCUGGAUUACUUUCUUGCGUCAGGAUCCAUCAUCGACAGGGUUCAUGAUUCGUACAUCCUCCCGGACGUGACAUCCAGCGACCACAGUCCAAUUGGCCUUGUGCUCAAGCUCUAGCCUCUAGGCACCCUCAGUUGCUGGGGAAAUGCUUCGUCAGGCUGAAUCGUUUGCAUAGUCAGUUUUUCCGUGGAUUUUUUCUACUUAAAGGAUCUACCUAGAGUAGUCUGUCAAUGUUCUGCAGAGGUCUUGCGUAUUUGUUAUCUUAAGGCCUGUUCGGAGGCCCUCUGCUCCUCGACUCUGCUCACGGAGCUGCCGGGACCGUAGUUGAGAAUUACGGAGCGGACGAAUCGGUACUCCGCAGAUCUUUCUAUUUUGCGGAGCUGGUCGAGUGCCGAACGGGUUCUUACUAUGUCAUGUGCUCAUUAAACUUUUGCAAUGUGAAUGGAUUCUAAACCGGAGGUUGCUUCUACAACUGGGUUUCUCUC
rnacentral:rRNA from 1 species